rnacentral:lncRNA from 1 species
UUGCGCUUGUUAACUGAAUUUUUCCCCAUUUUUUAUGGUGGUUCACUGUAAAUUGAGCGGAGCAUCAUGAUGGAUCAUCAACAGAAAUGAAGAACAGAACCGACAAAACAGAAGCAACGACGAUUUAAAGAUACAGUGAAUGAUGUAAGUUUUGCUGGUGCAAUAUAUUUAUGCAAUAAUUUAAAUAUUUUUACAGAAGAUUCCAUAAAACUUUGACCACAAAUGUUCCGAACUUCGUUCGUUGCGAAGUUAGCAAGUUCGCUGCGAAGUUCAAAAGUUCAUAAUGAGAUUCACAAACCAGUUUGUAAACUACGCAUUUAAUUGGCUUCUUCUAAAUCAGGUACCAAUCGGGUACAAAAUGUUUACAAAUUGGCUUGUGAAUUCCAAUAUGAACUUCAGAACUAAAAAAUUCGUGUUUAAAAAAUUAUUGUUACAGCUUUGUUACAUCUGCGUCUCCCGGUAUCCGCCACUGUUACUCAGUUCGUAUUGUUACCCUGACGUUUAUGUACUUUUGAAAUUUUAGCAUUUCUAUCUUUAAAAGUAUAUUAAGUAAAUCUUUCUAUAACAUGUGUAGUGAAAUAUUCAAUUUAUUUUGUUACUGACGGGAAAUAUCCUUUCAUUUCAGAUGAAGACCUACAACCAACAGAUCCUACAACAUCGCCAUGCAAGAUGAGAGUAACACAACUUUUAUCAAGGUAAGAGAAAAUCAAAAAUGAGUCAAGGAAUUUUUAAUCGUUUCUCAUUAAAAAAACGGAAAAAAAACUAUUUCAAAAUUUUUUGAGAAAAUAACAUUUUCAAAAAAUGUUUAUUUAUCCUUCAGGGAAAAGAAAUUUUACAUCAAACCACAUCCUACGAGCUUGUACGGAGAGAAGACAAAGGCGAAGUGAAGAUAACUAGAUUAACCAACCAACCAACCAUGGACCCAUCAACAGAACGUCGACAUGCCUGAUCAACAAAACAAUUACGAAAAUGCGAAAGUGAUUAGUAUAGAUGUAAGUGAUGUUAUAAAACUUUUGAAAUACAUGAAUGCAGGAAUUUCUCGCUUUUUCAAUCCUAAUAAUAUAACUAGUCCUUUGUAGGAUUGCAUUGAAAAACAUACACUCGUGAGUUAUUCAAAAACUUCAAAUUGCACUCGUACUUCAGACUCGUGCAAUUUUGAUCGUCUUUGAAUAACUCACUCCUGUAUUUUUUUUCCAAAUUGUACUCGACACCAUACAAAUACCUAUAUCAACAACUAUAAUUCCAAAACGUUGUUUCGAUAUAUCAUGCACGAUCAUUAAUUAUUUCGCGUUGUUUCAACAGGUAGAAAUUUUGUCCGCGCUGGUCAAUAAGUUUUGGCGCAUUGGAAAACUUUUAAAAGUUUUUGAGUUUUUUUUGGCCGUUUCUGGUGAACAGCAGAUUCGCAAAAAUGUAAACUUGUUUCGCAAAAAUAUACUGGACCUUUCUUCGUUCACUUGUCGAAGUAUUUUUGAUAGGAAAAUUCGCGAUUUUCCGUUGGAAACGUUUCCCUCCUUCCCAACGAAGCAUUAAAUAACAAUAUUUUUCAGUAGCAAAACUAGGCCAAAAAACAAAUAAAAUGCUCGGAAAUCAAAUGUAAUAUUUACCCGCCCCGAGUCUCUUAUCUGUUCACCGCGUCAAUUUUGACGCGUGUGUAGACAAAAUUCCUACCUUUCUGUUGUUUCAACAAGAAGUAAUAAUAGCGGACUGUAUGAUGGCAACAUGCACAAAUUCGUCCUACCUAUUAGCCCCCCCCCCCCGGAUAUUACCCUCCAACAUGGUGUGGUUGCCGUAACGUCAGAUGAAAACAUGAAACACUCUGUCAGCCUGGACCUUGACCUUCUAUUUUUAGUUUCGGCGCUUUGGUGGUGAGGAUUGGCAGAAGCAUGUGACGUCACACUUACCAAAUCCUAGCCCAAAAUUGACCAAAAUCUGCCGAAUAAAGGGCCCAAGUCUAGGCUAUCAUCGACAUUAUUAAUUAUAUACAUCAAUAAUAUUAAAUGAUUAUUUGAAACAUGAAAUACUACGCAAUUCAAAAUUGAUAUGAUUAUGGGAUAAUAAAUGCCGUUGAAUUGGCGCCGAAGCCUAAAAUAUUGACGGCAAUUUUUUGUCUUUUUUUUUGUGAGGACUGGAUAUCUGACAGAAAAUCCUGGCAAUUUAUAUAGACAUUUUAAAAGUCUCUUUUCUACCAAAUAUCAAUCAACCUUUAACAUGAUUCGAUCCUAUUUCAUGGACUCAUGGAUACUUUAUUAAUUUCAAAAGGUGAAGUGAUGAAAUGUUUAUGUGAUGAAAAUAGAUGAUGAAAAGACCAAAAAGAACCACUCACGAAUGGCAUGGAGCCAAGAAAAGAAUGACGAUUCGCACCAAUCAGAAACAACAACAUUGCUAAUAUGAAAGUAGCGAAAAUUUUUACCAAUGUAAGUUAGUUAAAGACAAAAUACUUAUUUAAAGAUCAAAGGGGAUUUAAGUGAAUACAAUGAUUUCUCAUUGUAAAUAAGCAUGCU